CGCAUCUUGCGCUCCUUGGUAUUCCGAGGAGCAUGCCUGUUUGAGUGUCAUUAAAUUCUCAACUCUCCUGUACUUUGUUGUAAAGGAGGGCUUGGACUGUGGAGGCUUGCUGGCCACUUGCUGGGGUCAGCUCCUCUGAAAUGCAUUAGCAGAACUGUUUGCAAUCUGCCACAAGUGUGAUAAUUAUCUACACUAGCAAGGGGGAUUGCUUUCUGUGUUCAGCUUCUAAUCGUCUUCAGUGACAAUUUGUUGAAUACUUGACCUCAAAUCAGGUAGGACUACCCGCUGAACUUAA
rnacentral:misc_RNA from 1 species